AGGACGAACGCUGGCGGCGUGCUUAACACAUGCAAGUCACGGGGGCUCGCAAGAGCAACCGGCGAACGGGUGCGUAACACGUGAGCAACCUGCCUUUGUGUGGGGGAUAGCCGGGCUAACGCCCGGGUAAUACCGCAUACGGUCACCUGGGGGAGUCCCUGGGUGAAGAAACCUCCGGGGCACAGAGAGGGGCUCGCGGCCUAUCAGCUAGUUGGCGGGUAAUGGCCCACCAAGGCGACGACGGGUAGCUGGUCUGAGAGGAUGGCCAGCCACAUUGGGACUGAGAGACGGCCCAGACUCCUACGGGAGCAGCAGUGGGGAAUCUGCGCAAUGGCCGAAAGGCUGACGCAGCGACGCCGCGUGUGGGAGGACGGCCUUUCGGGUGUAAACCGACUGUUCGCCCGGGACGAACAGCCUGUUUCGACAGGCCUGACGGUACCGGUGAGAAGCACGCUAACUCCGUGCCAGCAGCCGC
rnacentral:rRNA from 1 species